UACGUAGGGGGCAAGCGUUGUCCGGAAUCAUUGGGCGUAAAGAGCGUGUAGGCGGUUCGGUAAGUCGGCUGUGAAAGUCCAGGGCUCAACCCUGGGAUGCCGGUCGAUACUGCCGGACUAGAGUUCGGAAGAGGCGAGUGGAAUUCCCGGUGUAGCGGUGAAAUGCGCAGAUAUCGGGAGGAACACCUAUGGCGAAGGCAGCUCGCUGGGACGUUACUGACGCUGAGUGCGCGAAAGCCAGGGGAGCAAACGGG
rnacentral:rRNA from 1 species